ACGUAGGGGGCGAGCGUUGUCCGGAUUUAUUGGGCGUAAAAGGCUUGUAGGUGGCCACGCGAAGUCGGAUGUGAAAUCUCCCUGCUCAACGGGGAGGGAGCGAAGUAGACUGGCGAGCUAGAGGACGGUAGAGGGGGGUAGAACUGCUGGUGUAGCGGUGAAAUGCGUAGAGAUCAGCAAGAAUACCCGUGGCGAAGGCGGCCCCCUGGACCGAACCUGACGCUGAGGCGCGAAGGCUAGGGGAGCGAACGGGA
rnacentral:rRNA from 1 species